UGGUGGAUGCCUUGGCGUCAAGAGGCGAUGAAGGACGUGGCACUCUGCGAUAAGCUUCGGGGAGGGGAGAGCACCCUUUGAUCCGUGGAUCUCUGAAUGGGGAAACCCGGCGCUUUAGCGUCAUCUCGGACUGAAUACAUAGGUUCGAGAAGCGAACCCGGCGAAGUGAAACAUCUCAGUAGCCGGAGGAAAGGACAUCAACCGAGACUCCGUUAGUAGUGGCGAGCGAACGCGGACCAGGCCAGUGGCAGUAUUUUAAGAACCGGAACCGUCUGGAAAGUCGGGCCAUAGUGGGUGAUAGCCCCUUACGGGUAGAAAGAGAUACUGUCCUCGAGUAGGGCGGGGCACGUGAAACCUUGUCUGAACAUGGGGGGACCAUCCUCCAAGCCUAAGUACUCCUCGAUGACCGAUAGUGAACCAGUACCGUGAGGGAAAGGUGAAAAGCACCCCG
rnacentral:rRNA from 1 species